rnacentral:rRNA from 1 species
UACGUAGGAGGCAAGCGUUAUCCGGAUUCAUUGGGCGUAAAGUGUGCGUAGGCGGUCUAGUAAGUCCUAAUUUAAAGGCUGUGGCUUACCCAUAGUUCUGGGAAGGAUACUAUUAGACUAGAGGAUAGAUAGGGGAACUAGAACAGUUAGUGUAGCAGUGAAAUGCGUUGAUAUUAACUGGAAUACCGAUGGCGAAGGCAGGUUCCUGGGUUUUUCCUGACGCUGAGGCACGAAAGCUAGGGUAGCGAAA